rnacentral:rRNA from 1 species
UGACUCAAAAAGUCGUGCACGCUGGUCGGUGUCCUCUCACAUAAUAAUCCAUCUCACCCUUUGUGCAUCACCGCGUGGGCACCCUUUGGGAUCGGACCGAUCUCGGAAGGGGGCCCGCGUUUUCACACAAACCCCCCCAUCUAAAAGUGUAGAAUGUCCUCAUUUAUGCAAUAAAUACAACUUUCAACAACGGAUCUCUUGGCUCUCGCAUCGAUGAAGAACGCAGCGAAAUGCGAUACGUAAUGUGAAUUGCAGAAUUCAGUGAAUCAUCGAAUCUUUGAACGCACCUUGCGCCCCUUGGUAUUCCGAGGGGCACACCCGUUUGAGUGUCGUGAAAAUCUCAACCUCCUUGGUUUCUUCUGGAGACCGAUGGGGGCUUGGACAUUGGAGGCCUUUGCUGGUGUCUCUCUUGAAGGGCCCAGCUCCUCUUAAAUGAAUUAGCGGGGUCCUCUUUGCCGAUCCUUGACAUGUGAUAAGAUGUUUCCGUGUCUUGGUCUCUGGCUCUGUUGCUUUUGGGACCCGCUUCUAAUCGUCUCAACCUUGCAUCGAGACAAACGUCUGAGCGUGGCUCCCUUCCCUGGGAAAACUCUCUCGACCUCACGAACCCUUGACCUCAAAUCGGGUGAGACUACCCGCUGAACUUAA